AUUUCCUUCGGGAUUGAUUAUUUUGUGACUGAGUGGCGGACGGGUGAGUAACGCGUGGGUAACCUGCCUCAUACAGGGGGAUAACAGUUAGAAAUGGCUGCUAAUACCGCAUAAGACCACAGCACCGCAUGGUGCAGGGGUAAAAACUCCGGUGGUAUGAGAUGGACCCGCGUCUGAUUAGCUAGUUGGUGGGGUGACGGCCUACCAAGGCGACGAUCAGUAGCCGGCCUGAGAGGGUGAACGGCCACAUUGGAACUGAGACACGGUCCAAACUCC
rnacentral:rRNA from 1 species